rnacentral:rRNA from 1 species
CCCUAUGGGGCGCCCCAGGCAUUGUGGAUCGUUGCGAUGUAUAGCUCAGCCAGGCGGAUGAACUCGUCCGUGCCCGAGUAAGUGCGCAGGAGCGGGAAGUUCCCCCUGCGGCUGGCAGCGUAGAUCGCCCGGUAGUCGUCCGCCGAGCGCACCGGCGCGCCUCCGGCACCGCGCCGCCGGGGGUCCUGGCGCCCGGGGUGGAAGAAGUUUUCCUGUGCGUCCUGGUCAAUGCCCAGCGAGAUCACAUCCAGCGCACCGGCCUCGGCUAUCUGCUCCACUCCGCGCAGGGUGUCUUCCAAGGUCGGCAGGCCAAAGUGAUGGCGCAGCAGCGGGUAUGGGGUUUUCCAAUGGAUGCGCUCGAUGGCGGAUUGCGGCGGGAGGGC